AAAGGGAGUUCUAGAAGCAUCGGAGAGGACUAAGCCAUCAGCAGCUUCAAGUGAAAGGCUGGGAAAAGAAGGCUCCAAGCAAAGGAAAUGUCAGGAAGAAUCUAUGAGCUCGUCCUUCAUCUCCAGGAGCCUGAACACAAGGGGCUUCGGGUGGAUUUCAGAGUCUGUGUGUGUUUCUGUCGAGUUGUGCCCACCAGUCACCCCAGACAGCAUGGAUGAAUCUGAGAAGCCUCCUUCCUCCAUCCCUGAUAGAAGCUCCUGGAACCCAGGGCGCGAACUCUCCGCCUGCCGCCCAAACGCAGUUCGCUGUGUGGACAGGAGAUCUGGGGCCGCCGGCGCCCCGCCCCGGACAGACUCAGCUCCGCCCCCAGGCUGCCUCGCCCCGCCCCGCCCAUCAUCACCACGCCGGUGGCUGUCCGGGUGCUAUGGAAACGCGUUGCUCUCCUAGGAUGCUCCUCUGUUAGGCGCAGCACAUUAGACAGUGCCUGGAGAGCCGGAUCCUGCUCUUGCUUCCGGUGUGAAGGGAGAAAACUCAACUCGCUGAACCUGUCUGCUUCCUGACUGGUUAGGUUUCCGGGUUACCCCACACUCUUUACAAAGGCUGGGAGUGGAUAGAUUUUUAAGAUCUCCCCCAUCUCCCCACUAAGGCAAUCGGUUUCUAGUAAAAGUUCAGCAGUCAGAAUGAAGAUUGUGAAGGGGAGGACACUACAAGCUUAAUAUUCAUCAGAACAGUCCAGAUCACGAACCUUUCCUUUACCUGAAAGUCUGCACACCGUCACAAUGAAACACUUGGACGGAAUACUUCUAAAGACAUGUGCAUAUCCAAGGACAUCUUGUGUACCAUUGUGGGGUUUCCUAUCAAAGUGAGACUAGGAGUUAGACUGUUAGCAGACAAAGGGGCCGUGACCAGGUAAUAAAUGUGGUGAACUUC